rnacentral:lncRNA from 1 species
GACCACAAGAAAGUUUUUAGUACUCUUCAAUUGCAUUCUGCAAUUUAAAAUACAGUUCAGUUACAACAUAGGAUUACACAAGGCGGCGAAUAAAAUUUUCUCCUUUUUUUUUCGCAAAUAGAGAAUGAUAUGCAUAUGGCACAGACAGCCAGCAUACGGUUCUAUCAUGUGAAUGUUACAUCGAUGCUCCUCCAUAUUGUUCCUCAUAUGCUAUGUGUGGGCUGUCCGCUGCAAGUUUAUAUGGCAUUAAAGCGAAGUUGUCUUCCUAUGUUCCUUGUAAUACGUUUGCAGGCGUAACGGAGACGCUGGAUUAUAACUCACUACGGAAUAUGAGCAUUUCAUUGAGCCCUU